ACGCUCGACACCUACGGGGGCAGCAGUGGGGAAUAUUGCACAAUGGGGGAAACCCUGAUGCAGCAACGCCGCGUGAGCGAAGAAGUAUUUCGGUAUGUAAAGCUCUAUCAGCAGGGAAGAAAAUGACGGUACCUGAGUAAGAAGCCCCGGCUAACUACGUGCCANGCGCGGAGUAUNGNGGCGGNGNGAGAG
rnacentral:rRNA from 1 species